rnacentral:rRNA from 1 species
CCCUUAGAUGUUCUGGGCCGCACGCGUGCUACACUGAGUGGAUCAGCGGGUCAGGUUGCGCGAAAGUGUUUCCUAAUCUUUAAAUCCGCUCGUGAUGGGGAUUGACGGUUGCAAUUUUCCGUCAUGAACGAGGAAUACCUUGUAAGCGCGGGUCAUCAUCCCGCGCUGAAUACGUCCCUGCCCUUUGUACACACCGCCCGUCGCACCUACCGAUUGAAUGACUCGGUGAAAAAUUGGGACUGUGAUUGAAAUUGCUUCAUUGCGAAUUUAAUUAUGGAAACUUUCUUUAACCUAGGCAUUUAGAGGAAGGUGAAGUCGUAACA